CAGACCUGAAAUCAGGCGAGGUUACCCGCUGAACUUAAGCAUAUUAUUAAGCGGAGGAGAAGAAAAUAACUAUGAUUCCCUUAGUAACGGCGAGUGAACCGGGAUCAGCUCAAAGUGGAAAUCAACUGCUCUUUCCGAGCUGUUGACUUGUAGCCUCGAGAGGCGUUACCAGUGGAAGCGCAGGGUUAAGUUUCUUGGGAAAGAACAUCAUAGAGGGUGAGAAUCCCGUCCUUCCCCUGCGUUUUUUGUUCCACGUACGGUACGCUUUUAUAGAGUCGCGUUCAUCGGGAUUUGAGCGCAAAAUGUGUGGUAGGUUUCACAUAAAGCUAAGUACUGGCGCGAGACCGAUAGCAAACAAGUACCGUGAGGGAAAGAU
rnacentral:rRNA from 1 species